UCCGUAGGUGAACCUGCGGAAGGAUCAUUACAGAAUGAAAAGUGCUUAACUGCAUUUUUUCUUACACAUGUGUUUUUCUUUUUUUGAAAACUUUGCUUUGGUAGGCCUUCUAUAUGGGGCCUGCCAGAGAUUAAACUCAACCAAAUUUUAUUUAAUGUCAACCGAUUAUUUAAUAGUCAAAACUUUCAACAACGGAUCUCUUGGUUCUCGCAUCGAUGAAGAACGCAGCGAAAUGCGAUAAGUAAUAUGAAUUGCAGAUAUUCGUGAAUCAUCGAAUCUUUGAACGCACAUUGCGCCCUUUGGUAUUCCAAAGGGCAUGCCUGUUUGAGCGUCAUUUCUCCCUCAAACCCUCGGGUUUGGUGUUGAGCGAUACGCUGGGUUUGCUUGAAAGAAAGGCGGAGUAUAAACUAAUGGAUAGGUUUUUUCCACUCAUUGGUACAAACUCCAAAACUUCUUCCAAAUUCGACCUCAAAUCAGGUAGGACUACCGGCUGAACUUAAGCAUAUCAAUAAGCGGAGGAAAAG
rnacentral:rRNA from 1 species